GAUGAAGAACGUAGCGAAAUGCGAUAAGUAAUGUGAAUUGCAGAAUUCAGUGAACCAUCGAAUCUUUGAACGCACAUUGCGCCCGCCAGCAUUCUGGCGGGCAUGCCUGUUCGAGCGUCAUUUCAACCCUCGACUUCCCUUUGGGGAAGUCGGCGUUGGGGACCGGCCGUAUACCGCCGGCCCCGAAAUGAAGUGGCGGCCCGUCCGCGGCGACCUCUGCGUAGUAAUCCAACUCGCACCGGAACCCCGACGUGGCCACGCCGUAAAACCCCCGACUUCUGAACGUUGACCUCGGAUCAGGUAGGAAUACCCGCUGAACUUAAGCAUAUCAAUAAGCGGAGGA
rnacentral:misc_RNA from 1 species